GCCAUUCCUCCCACUCAUCUGGCUUUUGACUCUUCACCUUGAUUUCUGCUUAAAAAGGCAGCAUAAAGUAGUUUUGAAAAGUUUUUAUAGCUAAACAGACCUGGGUUUGGGUUUUUGUCAUUUAUUAGCUGGAGCUCCUUAGGCAAGUUACCUCAUCUUUUAAGUGGCUUCCUAACCAGUAAAAUUUGUUGUAUUGUAAUGUAUUGAUACAUAGUUAAGUGCCAAACGAAUGCCUAAUUCAUUUCCUCGUAAUGUUUUGUAAAAAUGGCUCAGGGACAUACCUGUCCUACAUGACAUCCUAAUUUGAGCUCCAGGUACCAACAAGCACUCUGUCCAAGUUUCCUGUUCAAAUGCCUAAAGAGACUCUGAUUAGACCAGCUUAUCAAAGCUGUGUUCCUGGUCACCGACCAGUCUGAAGGUUACCAGGUAUUCCUUUCCAGAAGGGAAGGGAAGGGAAGGCAGAGGUUCGGAUGCUGGGCAGUUUGCAUUCGAGUGGGUUAAGGAGUAUUCAGAUAACCUGACCCCCAAGAUCAGUCUCAUGUGUUCCCCUAUCCAUGUUGCUAACACCAACAUUUCAGAUGACUUCCCAACCAGAGUAGUUCUCACCCUUUAAUAAAAAGCAAACCUGGUCCUUAGGCAACAAUAACAGCAGACUUUCCACAGCUCCAGUAAAAUCCUGUUAGGAAGAGUCUGGCCUUGCUCCGAGUAAGGCUUCUCCCGUUAGGAAGAGAGCGGUUAUGAGGGACUCCCUGUGGGAGCUGCUUGGUGUGGAAUGGGAGGCACCAUUUGGUUUCCUUGUUGUUUACCUUCCUGAGAAUGUCUACAUGACACUCAUGUUCUCCUCCAACCUUCUGUGGCUUCAGAAGGGGCCGGAGCACCUGCCAGAGGAGAGGUCUGGGAAGUUCCCACUGUGGGAACAUUCAGGCAUCUAGCACACAGGAAGUGGGUUAAGGACGACAGUCUCACAGGGAAACACACCAUUUCUGGAUCCUUCUUUGGUGAUGCUAUUUUUAUUAUCUGUUCUCAAGUGAUUGCACUGGUACCAAUAAAGAACUAGAAUGCUUACAAGAUUGACAAGGAAGAACUCAAAAGAAUUUUAAAAAAGAGGUUUAGUGGAGGAGCUCAGAAUGUUGAAUCUCUAAGACGAGAAGGGGAAAGGACUUAGGAAUGGCUGAAAGCCCAUAAGAAAUAAUUGUGACAACAGUCAUUAAACCAAGCAUCUUGCUCUGCCUGGCCAUGCCGGAGCUGACUUUAUUGGGUUAAAGCCUGAAAGUUUAAACUUCCAUCAGCCAGAUUCUAACCCAGAGAUUGUCUAUUUUUAGGAAUUCACAAGAGGACAGGCUUUCUCUACAGAAGAGCCUAUGACCUGGGAGACAACUAGAACUAAAGACUAAGUCCUCCACCCUAAGCCUGUGCAGGUGCCAGAAUUCAGUCUACUGGAAACCAGUGACCUCGUAUAAAAUGAUGUAAGUUACAACUUACAACUUAUUUAGCAUUCUACUAGAGUGUGUUCAAAAUCAUUAUUUCAUUUAAUCUCAAUUUUUUGAACUAAGCAUUAUUCCCAUUUUAAAAACAGAGGUGUGACUUGGCUGGGAUCACAUACCACGGAUCAUGCAUACUCCAAGUCCAGUCUUCUCUGAUUCAGACUGUGUGUGUGUAGUGAGCCCUGGACUAGUCAGAAUUAUAAUAAACAAAACAUUCUAUCAGUUACUUAACUUUAAAACCUCAGCUAUAAGAUACAGAAUUAAACUAUUUUUAAGAUCAUUCACUUCUGUAUUGUGUUGGAAGAGAGACCAGAAACUGAAGGCGGAGGGCGCAGGCAAAAAAGAGAUUACAGCAACCCCAGAGGUGAUGGGUGGAAUGCUGAGGAAAGUCACCCCAAGUGACUGCCCUGUUUUAAUGCUGAAAUCGCUUUGAGAGAAAAGUGAAUGAGGGACAACAUAAUUUAUUCGAAGAAAUACAUUACCACUUGAAAAACGUAGAAAGCAAAUGACUCAUAAGCUCCUGUGUAAUAUAAAAGAAUCUUACCUAUCAUAAAAAAGAAAAAAAUAUAUAUAGUCCAUGGACAAAGUUUUCUUUAUUUCAAAACAAUAACUUCCUUCUAUUGGAGCACUGGCCAAAAUUCAAUACUGAUACAAAUGUAAAUUUCUUAGGUCAAAAUAUGUGUGUCAGAUGAACUUUAUGAAUUUCGUUUAAGGGCAGAAUUUUUAAAGCAUAUGAAACAAUUAGAAACAAUGUACAUCAACAGCAGUUCAAAUUUAAGCUGAAUAACCAAACCAUGUAAAUUAUCUCAACUAAUAUUUGCUAACAUCUAAAACAUUGCACAUAUUUUCAAUAACUUAAAAGUUAGGGUCUUAUCUGCUCUUUUCAUCUCCCACCCCGUAGAGGAAAUACAAUUUUAAAUACUAUUUACUCAUGGUAGGAGAUUCCAGCAUUAACUAUAGCUGAGUUUAACAGAAAUAAUCAUGAAGAUUUAUCAAGUAUUUAAAAAUGAUCACUUGUAGCAAUUCAUUAGAAGCACUAGGUAAGAAAGACAGUUCCUCCACUUUCUAAUAGCUAAGGUUUAUGACACAUAAUGUAAUUCAACAGAACAGCAUUCUGACUGAUGAACACCUUGUAAGACAUGUUUUUGCCUAUUCAGUGUUCCAUUUUAAAGCUACUUAUUUUACCAAUGUUAAAAGUUUUAAAUUCCAUUAUGCCAACAAUUUCCAGAAGUAUUAACUAGUCGUUUUUAUGAUGCCAUUUAUUAAACUGAAAGAAAAAGAUGGAAUAUUCUGGGUUUUAUUUGAAAAGAGAUUUAUUUUAAUUCAAUGCUUUGAUUCCUCCCUAUUUGCAAACUACUUUUUCUUCCUCAGAAUGGAUGGCAGUGAGCAUUAUCUAGAGUUCCUACUCAAACCCCAUCUCCAAGAAAAUGUGAGAGGAAAUCUAAGAUUAAAGUUCUGUUUGAGGUAAGAAGAUUCCAAUCUCGUUCUAACAAUAUUUCAUUCCAACAAACUGUCACGCCAGCUCUUCCAUCAAUGA